rnacentral:rRNA from 1 species
UACAGAGGUCUCAAGCGUUGUUCGGAUUCAUUGGGCGUAAAGGGUGCGUAGGCGGCGCGGUAAGUCGGGUGUGAAAUUUCGAGGCUUAACUUCGAAACUGCAUUCGAUACUGCAGUGCUAGAGGACUGGAGAGGAGACUGGAAUUUACGGUGUAGCGGUGAAAUGCGUAGAUAUCGUAAGGAAGACCAGUGGCGAAGGCGGGUCUCUGGACAGUUCCUGACGCUGAGGCACGAAGGCCAGGGGAGCAAACGGG